UAGCCUACGGGACGCAGCAGGGAAUUUUCGUCAAUGGGCGCAAGCCUGAACGAGCAAUGCCGCGUGAACGAGGAAGGUCUUCGGAUCAUAAAGUUCUGUUGACGGGGAAAAAGAGCGGAGAGAGGAAAUGAACUCCGAUUGAUAUUACCCUUCGAGGAAGUCACGGCUAACUACGUGCCAGCAGCCGCGGUAAUACGUAGGUGGCGAGCGUUAUCCGGAAUGAUUGGGCGUAAAGGGUGCGUAGACGGCUGUGCAAGUCUGAAGUGAAAGCCCAGGGCUCAACCCUGGGACUGCUUUGGAAACUG
rnacentral:rRNA from 1 species